rnacentral:rRNA from 1 species
GACGAACGCUGGCGGCGCGCUUAAUACAUGCAAGUCGAGCGAGAACCAGUCCUUCGGGACUGGGGAAAGCGGCGAACGGGUGAGUAACACGUGGGUAAUCUGCCCUCGGCACUGGGAUAGCCCGGGGAAACCCGGAUUAAUACCGGAUAGCCUUUCGAGCCUUCGGGCUCGUCAGAAAAGGUGGCUUCGGCUUCCGGCUGAGGAUGAGCCCGCGGCGGAUUAGCUUGUUGGUGAGGUAAUGGCUCACCAAGGCUCCGAUCUGUAGCUGGUCUGAGAGGACGAUCAGCCACACUGGGACUGAGACACGGCCCAGACUCCUACGGGAGGCAGCAGUAGGGAAUCUUGCGCAAUGGGCGAAAGCCUGACGCAGCAACGCCGCGUGGGGGAAGACGGCCUUCGGGUUGUAAACCCCUUUCAGGAGGGACGAAGGUUCACCGGUGAAUAGCCGUGUGGAUUGACGGUACCUCCACAAGAAGCUCCGGCUAACUACGUGCCAGCAGCCGCCGGA